UGUGCGGCCCAGCGCGACAGGAACCUGCGCUGUGCUGUUGUUUCUCAGACUAUUUUUAGGAAUAGGCGGAUCGGCGCGUUCAGGUAACAAUUGAUGAUGAAUGAUCCAUGUCUUCAAGAAUGCAAGUAACACUGUAGAGAGAGGAAAGCUCAUCAGUGGCCAUGAUGGAAGCCAUCAGUUUGUCCCAUGGCUUAUUUUCUAGGAACCCAGGCUACUUUCAUAAUGAAAAGACAGAGAUGGAAAAGAGGGUGUCUGACUGCUGGACAAACAGUUACCAGGUGUGACUAAAGCAUAUCCUGCCAUUAUGCCGAAAGGCUGACACAUUCCAUGUAGGCAGACCUUUCCUCCAGAGCUUCUGGAAGGAAAUAAAACUCCUUCAAGGACUGAGUGAUUAGCUGUAUUUCUUCAUGACUAUUUGUAAGCCAGAAUAAAUCCUUUCUCCCUG
rnacentral:lncRNA from 1 species